rnacentral:rRNA from 1 species
AGGACGAACGCUGGCGGCGUGCUUAACACAUGCAAGUCGAGCGGUAAGGCUCCUUCGGGAGUACACGAGUGGCAAACGGGUGAGUAACACGUGGGUGACCUGCCUUCGAGUGGGGGAUAACGUCCCGAAAGGGACGCUAAUACCGCAUGAUAUCCUGCCUUUGGAAAGGUGGAGAUCAAAGCUGGGGAUCGUAAGACCUGGCGCUUGAAGAGGGGCCCGCGCCUGAUUAGCUAGUUGGUGAGGUAACGGCUCACCAAGGCUACGAUCAGUA